rnacentral:rRNA from 1 species
GACGGAGGAUGCAAGUGUUAUCCGGAAUCACUGGGCGUAAAGCGUCUGUAGGUGGUUUAAAAAGUCCACUGUUAAAAAUUGAAGCUUAACUUCAAAGAUGCCGUGGAAACUUUUAAACUUGAGUAUGGUAGGGGUAGAGGGAAUUUCCAGUGGAGCGGUGAAAUGCGUAGAGAUCGGAAAGAACACCAACGGCGAAAGCACUCUGCUGGGCCGACACUGACACUGAGAGACGAAAGCUAGGGGAGCGAAUGGG